UUUAUACUCACUCCGUCCAAGAUUAUUUGUCGUAAAAAUGAAUAAAAUUGAAUGUAUCUAGAACUAAAAUACAUCGAGAUACGUUCAUUUAUAUGACAAGUAUUUUCAAACGGAGAGAGUAUUAG
rfam:Hordeum vulgare subsp. vulgare, WGS project CAJW01000000 data, contig: morex_contig_1592242